UACAGAGGGGGCAAGCGUUGUUCGGAAUUACUGGGCGUAAAGGGCGCGUAGGCGGCCCGCUAAGUCGAACGUGAAAUCCCCGAGCUCAACUCGGGAACUGCGUCCGAUACUGGUGGGCUUGAAUCCGGGAGAGGAAUGCGGAAUUCCAGGUGUAGCGGUGAAAUGCGUAGAUAUCUGGAGGAACACCGGUGGCGAAGGCGGCAUUCUGGACCGAUAUUGACGCUGAGGAGCGAAAGCCAGGGGAGCAAACGGG
rnacentral:rRNA from 1 species